UUUUUUAUAUAUAUGGUCUCCAUAUGGUGGGAGGUCACCCACGCAGACCUUAGCACUUAAGCUCUGCUGCCAUUAUCUUCCACCUGUGUGCCCAGCCAGGUUUGGAAUCGACUGAAUUUGAAGACUUUGGAAUAGUGAAGCAGGCAAUGAUGCUGUGAUGGUUUCUAUGGAAACAGAAGUGGGAGAUGAGAGGCAACUAAUAAGAGCUCAACUCAGCCAGCUCCUGGAUGGUGAUUUAAAAAUACGGACUUUUAAAAAUAACCCUUUACCUUAUUUCCCCCCACCUAAUCUUUGUUUCUGAAGAAAGGGAUCAGAAAGGCAGUGGGUUGCUAGCAGCAAUGAAUGAGAGCUCUCACUCAUCGCUUUCAUCUGUUGGCUGUCAUGCAAGAGCUGAUUUGCUGACAGAGCCGCGAAGUUGCCAGAGAUCCUCCCUGUGGCCAGCCUGCACCGAUGCCCCCGGGGAGCCCCGCGCUGAGAGCCGCAGACCUGCGGGUGUGACGCAGGUUUUGCGUUUCCUUUGUUGCCAGAGGCAGCUGUAA
rnacentral:lncRNA from 1 species